UACGAAGGGGGCUAGCGUUGCUCGGAAUCACUGGGCGUAAAGGGCGCGUAGGCGGAUUGCUAAGUCAGGGGUGAAAUCCUGGAGCUCAACUCCAGAACUGCCUUUGAUACUGGCGAUCUCGAGUCCGGGAGAGGUGAGUGGAACUGCGAGUGUAGAGGUGAAAUUCGUAGAUAUUCGCAAGAACACCAGUGGCGAAGGCGGCUCACUGGCCCGGUACUGACGCUGAGGUGCGAAAGCGUGGGGAGCAAACAGG
rnacentral:rRNA from 1 species